AAUCAACGCUGGCGGCGUGCCUCAGACAUGCAAGUCGAGCGGUAAGGCCCUUUCGGGGGUACACGAGCGGCGAACGGGUGAGUAACACGUGGGUGACCUGCCCUUAGCUCUGGGAUAAGCCUGGGAAACUGGGUCUAAUACCGGAUAUGACUCCAUGACGCAUGUUGUGGGGUGGAAGGCCUUGUGCGGCUGGGGAUGGGCCCGCGGCCUAUCAGCUUGUUGGUGGGGUGAUGGCCUACCAAGGCGA
rnacentral:rRNA from 1 species